rnacentral:rRNA from 1 species
ACUGCGUAGAUAUCCCGCUGGGACACCUGGCUUGUGUAGACGGGCUCUCAUGAACCGGGGUCUGACGCUGAGACUACGAAACCCCUGGGUAGCAAACCACGAUUAGAUACCCUGUUAGUUCACGCCCUUUAACGAUGCAUAUUUCCCUGUGGGUCAUUCAGUUGAUUCCGUGCCGGAGCUAAAAGAGUUAAAUAUGCUGUCCUGGAGAGUACAGUAGCAAGGUUGAAACUCAACGUAAUAGACGAGGGCCCGCACUAGCGGUCGAGCAUGUGGUUCAAUUUGACGCAACGUGAAGAACCUUACCUGGGAUCGAACGGCUGGUCACCGGCGGUGGCAACAUCGCUACCCCGCAAGGGGGUCCAGUCGAGGUGCUGCAUGGCUGUCGUCAGCUCGUGUCGUGAGAUGUUGGGUUAAGUCCCGCAACGAGCGCAACCCUUGUCCUGUGUUGCCAUCAUUCAGUUGGGAACUCGCAGGAGACCGCCAGCGAUAAGCUGGAGGAAGGUGGGGAUGACGUCAAGUCCUCAUGGCCUUUAUGUCCAGGGCUACACACGUGCUACAAUGGGCGGUACAAAGCGCAGCAAACCCGCGAGGGGGAGCCAAUCGCAAAAAACCGUUCUCAGUUCGGAUUGCAGGCUGCAACUCGCCUGCAUGAAGCUGGAAUCGCUAGUAAUGGCAGAUCAGCACGCUGCCGUGAAUACGUUCCCGGGCCUUGUACACACCGCCCGUCACAUCACGAAAGUGGAUUGUACUAGAAGUCUGUACGCUGACCCGCAAGGGAGGUAGCGGCCCAAGGUAUGAUUCAUGAUUGGGGUGAAAAAGGAACAAGGUAGCCGUAGGAGAACCUGCGGCU